GUUACUCAGCAGUAACCUGCCUCAAAACUGCUUAAAAAUAAAAAAACAACGACGUGGAGAGAAAACUCGAUGAAACAGGACAGAUCGCUCCACCAGUCUGCUACAGUGACUCACAGCUUUCCCUGCCAGCCGACUUUUCUCCCUUUUUCUCUCCUGGCACUUCCACUCCAAAGACAAGAAGGAGGAACUGAGGUAUUUCCUGCCAUUGUGAGGGAUGAUGAGUAGAAGGAGGGAGGGGAAAAGGGGAAAGAAAACCGCUCCGCAAUGGGUCGGAUCAGACCAAAAUGAGGCAGAACGGGCCUGAAACCUCCUGGACAGCUCCGCCCGUUUUCAGUGUUGACGCAAAGUCUCUGGGAGAAGACGUGCUGAGCCCCGGCGGCUGUAACCAUCCUGGAAUGUCUCGCUGCUCCGUUCGGGAAUGUUCCACUUUAACGUCAAAGAUACGACUUCAGAACGAAGCAGUUUAACUCUGAAGCUUCUGAAAGUGUCUUUCCCUUUUCACAUAUACAGAAUGCCCAUAACUCUGUAAUGAUCUGCGCCGAUCAACCGCCAUCUUGGUAGGCAAGCGCAGUGCAAAAGCUAGAUGAACCAUGGCUUCCAGAUCAACAAAAAGAAAAUCUGGAUUGGGUUUCAGCGUGACGUCACGCCUCCAUCUCCCUGCUGGAGGGUAAAAAGCUGCUGGCUAACGAAGACUACCGCUCCCUGACCCCCAUCUGAAUUCUGCACGUCAUCAGGGUCACAUGU